rnacentral:rRNA from 1 species
CAUCCGCGCUAGCGAUAGCUAUUUUCGCGGAAAGAUAUAAAAGUGUCGGGGAAAAGUUAAAUUUAUGAUACUAGUCAUCAUAUAUAUAUACAGCUUUUUUACUAAUUUUCUUGAGGAUAAGCUCAAGAAAAAAUUAAGAUAUUUUUAAUUAAAAAAUUACUGUGUAGGCUUAAAAUUGGUCACCACAAAAGUUUGUUAUAAAAUAUUGGUUUUAACUUAAAAAAUAAAUAUAUUUUAAUCUAAUUUUUUACGAGAAUAAAAGUUUUAAUUGAUAUAAGCUUUAUGCCUAUGCUAGGAUGAGUAUUAUAAACCUGAUUUUUAAAAGAAAUUUAUUCAUAUUUUUUCUUAAAAACCCGAAUUUAGAAAAAUUAAUUAAUUAAAAGGAACUCGGCAAAUUCUGCUGCUCCGCCUGUUUAUCAAAAACAUGGCUCUUUGUUAACUUAAAUAUAAAGAGUCGAGCCUGCCCAGUGAAUUUUCAACGGCCGCGGUACCCUAACCGUGCAAAGGUAGCAUAAUCACUUGCCUUAUAAUUGAAGGCUAGAAUGAAUGGUCUAACGAGAGUGGCACUGUCUCUUUUUUAUUUUCAAGAACUUAACUUUAGGUGAAGAGGCCUAAA